rnacentral:lncRNA from 1 species
AACACAUCAAAGCUGCAAUCCCAUAACCAAAAGCCUGGCUUUGUGGCAAAUAGCAAAGCUCGCCAUCGAUUCGUAGCUCCUUCUUCUGCAAAAUUGUAAAAUACCCGCGAACCCCUAAGUUGAAAGCGCGUAAAAUUAGCAUGUGGGUGUGAAGCAUACAUGAUUGACAUGAACAUACCUUUGAUUUCUUGAGCUCACAUAUGACGCAAAAAGCAAAAGAAGCAAUGGCAAGGGAGAUGAAGAUGGUGGUGCCAAAAAGAUGAUAGAUUGCUUUGGUUUUGUGUUGUUUUUCCAUGUAAAAGUAUAUUUUUUUAGGUGUUUGUAUAUAUGGUUUUAGUUUAAAGUUGAAAAGAAAAGGAGGGCUGAAGAAGAGCUUGGGGGUUACUCAAAGGAAAAAGUGGUUUGUUAAAAUGAUUCCAUCAAUUCUUUAGUUGGGAGGUUGGGGGUAGGAGGCAGGGGGCUAUUGCUUGGAAGGAAGGCCAGCAGCCGACCGGCGGUAAGCCGGCGACGGCUACCUGCGACUACACUCCUCCGACAACACUCACACCUCCCCCGUACCCCCGUUUUCCGGCGACAAAGAUCGAAGAAAGAGGGCAACGAGUGACGGCGGCAGUGGAGGUGACGGCGGUGGGUUGAGGCUCCUCCGACAAGAUUCAUGUCUCCAUCCACUUGAAACCUGCUGGCGUUAGGGCAAACUUGUUGCAGGUGGGUUCAACUGGCUAUGGUAGAUGUCUAUAUCAAUUUACUUGCUACAAGGGUGGCAGUCUCCGUCCAACUGUGAACCAUUAGAAGAAUUUGUUUUUUUUUUUUUUUUUUUUUUUUUUUUUUCUGAAUUGUAUUUUGAGUUGAAGAUAUUGUUUUAGAUUGAUGUGAAAUUAUAAGUGUCAGUUGUGGAUUUGUGUUUGAAGAUGAAAGUGGGUUUGAAGAUCUGGGUU